rnacentral:misc_RNA from 1 species
ACACCUCAACUCUCAUGGAUUGCCAUGAUGAGCUUGGACUUUGGGGGUCUUGCUGGCUUGCUGCUGGCUCCUCUCAAAUGAAUCAGCCUGCCAGUGUUUGGUGGCAUCACAGGUGUGAUAACUAUCUACGCUUGUGGUUUUCCACCAGGUAACCUUCAGUGAUGGAGGUUCGCUGGGGCUCAUAAAUGUCUCUCCUCAGUGAGGACAGCUCUUUGAAC